CUCCACUUGGCGAACACGGACCAGUUGUUUACUUCAUGAGCAGUGGGAAUGCCAGGACAAGGCACAAAAUCCCAAAUAAUCACUGACUCUAGCAGCUGUGAGGAUCUAGAAGGGCUAUUCGGGCUCUUUGUCUUUGAAAAUGAGGAAACUAAGACUGCAAUUCCGGAUGCAGUUAGUCAAGUCACGGAAGCUUCAUUAUCCCCUCCCUCAACUGACAAGAUGGGGACAGAACUGCUUCUCCAGGCUGUUGUGAGAGAGAAAUCAGGUCAUGGUGAACAGCAGCUAGUUUAUACUUGAGUCACGGCGACCAAUUACAACACAGGUUAGUUCUCCGCUAUUGCUACCAAAUCUUGCUACUAUUAAUAUCUAGUGUUAGCAG
rnacentral:lncRNA from 1 species